rnacentral:rRNA from 1 species
UACGUAGGGUGCAAGCGUUGUCCGGAAUCAUUGGGCGUAAAGAGCGUGUAGGCGGCUUGGCAAGUCUGACGUGAAAGCCCGCGGCUCAACCGCGGAUUGUCGUUGGAAACUGCCUCGCUAGAGUCCGGAAGAGGAGAGCGGAAUUCCUGGUGUAGCGGUGGAAUGCGCAGAUAUCAGGAAGAACACCCGUGGCGAAGGCGGCUCUCUGGGACGGUACUGACGCUGAGACGCGAAAGCGUGGGGAGCGAACAGG